CAGGCCCGAUUUAAGAGGUUGAGCCCUACACGUGCCCUACCCAGGCCCGAUUUAAGAGGUUGAGUCCUACACGUGCCCUACCCAGGCCCGAUUUAAGAGGUUGAGCCCUACACGUGCCCUACCCAGGCCCGAUUUAAGAGGUUGAGUCCUACACGUGCCCUACCCAGGCCCGAUUUAAGAGGUUGAGUCCUACACGUGCCCUACCCAGGCCCGAUUUAAGAGGUUGAGUCCUACACGUGCCCUACCCAGGCCCGAUUUAAGAGGUUGAG